rnacentral:rRNA from 1 species
UACGAAGGGGGCUAGCGUUGCUCGGAAUUACUGGGCGUAAAGGGCGCGUAGGCGGCCUGGCAAGUGGAAGGUGAAAUCCCUCGGCUUAACCGAGGAACUGCCCUCCAAACUGCUUGGCUUGAGUCCGGGAGAGGUGAGUGGAAUUCCCAGUGUAGCGGUGAAAUGCGUAGAUAUUGGGAGGAACACCAGUGGCGAAGGCGGCUCACUGGACCGGAACUGACGCUGAGGCGCGAAAGCGUGGGGAGCAAACGGG